GUUCAUGCAUUAUUUUUUUAGUGUAAAUUCUCAGUUUAUUAAAGCUAAGCUAAAUACACAGCAAACACAAGCUUAGCUCAGGCACUGGUUCACAGGAACUUGGCAGAGGCCUGCCUGCAUUUCAGAAUCCUUGUCCUUUUUCUAGAUGAAAGCCCUGCAGAAGGAUUUGUUUUUCAGAUGGAAGGCAAGCCAAGUUGGUGAUUUCAUCCCAAGGCAGGCUGUGUCAAGCUGGUCCUAUUCAAACAUGCAGGAAAUCAACCUUGGAGCUCAUUCAGAAAUGAGAAUGCAGAGUGGGGGUAGAGAGGGGGCUGUGAGGAGGACGAGAUCUUGAAUUUUGAAACUGAGCUCCAAACAAGCAGGAAAGAUACCUGCUGUCAGUGUAAUGCUGCAGGGACCUUCUGAAGAAUAAACUGGCAAGCUUUUAAGUAGCAUUUCUUAAUUCCUAGCUCUUCCAAGAAGCAAUCUCAUCUUUGUCCUCAUGCAGCCCUGCAAGGGCCAUGCAUAGCAUCCUAAGAGGUCAGGUGGCUACCACAGACUGAGCAAAUUUUCUGAAGACAUUUUCCACCUUCUCUACAUGUGCCAUAUCUGUUCAGGCAUGGCCCAAAUCUUCAUUUUUCUUGUCAUUGCAUCGCAAAGGGCAAAGAUGAAAAGAGCCUGCAAAACUUGCGUUGCUUCUUCCUCAGUUACCUGUAACCCGAAACAGCACAGAAAGCACAAUGCAGAAAAACUUGGCAUAAUUUUAUCUGAUGCUUUUCUGCAGCUGCAAAGUUGCCAUUGUUCAGCAAGGAUAGCACUCCAAGAACCUCCGUCACCAUACAGCACUUCUGCUGCAGCUAAUCACGUGGGAAAUUAGUGAACCUGCUUGGGAUCUGUGUGCAAGUGUGUAUAAUUCUUCAUCCCUAAAGAAAACCUUUCCAGUGAGGCAGGCAGUGUUUGCUGUCACUGUUAGUAAAAACUAAGACUUGCUCCUUUGCACUUACCCAGUCUGCAUAAGAACUUCAAGGACUCCAGUCCUUCCUUUCUAGCAAUUGCUUUCAUGGAUCCAGAAUUUAGUGGUUUAUUUAAUCAAAUGCUUUCUGAUGUGAAUAAUACCAACAAAGUGUUUGCAGCUUAGCCUGGAGGAUGGGAAAAAUGCAAGCACCAAAAGCCAAGGCAGUUUCUUAAUGUUGAUGCUCAUUAGGUACUUUUUAACAUUAGUGGCUGGUUCUGGAAUCUGCCCACGCAGGCUGGAGGCUGAGGAAAUAUUAUUUGAACACAUCUGCUCCGAGAGAUACUGUCAGACUUUGGGAGCAUCUUGUGGUAAUUAGGAGAAUUCAUUCCCUAAUUUGGUCCAGCAGAGUUUAUUCCUGAUUGUUUUAUUCUUUUUGUGAGCUCUUUUAAAAUUUUACUUUCUGCUUUGUUUUUUUGGCAGGUGAAAUGCUCCCAGGUAAUGUUAUAACCCCGUGUUCACAUAGCACCUUCCUACUUGCAAAACUUGGCAGAGAAGCUCGCAGUCACGAGCUCUGAGUUUUAGUCACUCACUGACUUUCCACCUACCUGCCCCUGACAUAACUUCUCUCCCCUUCCUCCCCCUCUCCCAGUCCACGUGUGUGCAUCUGCUCUCCAGACAUAAACCCCCUGCAAAACCCCAGGGUUAAAGCAGACCACUUGUACGCCUUUGGCUGUCAGUGCUAAAUGUUGCCCUGAGCUCUCCCCCCAGUUUCCUCUGCUUUGAGUGACGUGCACUUUGUGGUGAAAGAAAGAGGUUUAACUGGAUCAGCCAGGUGAUCUCCCAGGCCAGAAGUGGCCCAGACAGCAUCUGAUGAAGUGAGACUGACUCACUGGCCACCUUCUCCUGCAACCCUCACUUGGAAGCCACGUUUCCUCACUUUACUACCAUCAUCUUCCUCUUCAUUUCUGACGGUCUUGCCACAGGCAGGAUGGUACCCAUCCUCAAACUCACCCUGUCCUUCAACUCAGGGCUCAAUCCUCCAGGAACAUUCAUCUCCCACGUGAGAAGAGUUCCCUUACAAAAUAGUUUAAAGAAGAGGACAGCUUUAAAGCCCUGUGCUUCUUUUUCUGAAGAGGAGCCUUUAAUAUGGUUUAAUUAAAAGGUCAUCCUGCAGAGCUCGUUUGAUGUCAGCUUUGAAAUUCUGUACAUUUUGUUUCCAUUCUUAUUCUUUUGUAUGUUUAAAUCUGUACAUUUCCAAAUAAGGUUUUUGUGUGCUCACCACAGAUCUCUGUAUUCACUCCUUGAACCUUAAUGCUCUUUGUAGCAUUGAACAGUGACAGAGUUAUGUUAACCUCUCUGCCUCACUAGGCACAUUUGUUCCCUCAAAAAUCAACACAGCAGCCACAGGCACUGACAUCUGAAACAGUCCUGGUGCUCCUUGUAGCACUGAGUUUCUCUUUAGGCUAUGUGGAUUGCACAGGGUGCCUUGCAAGGAACCACAGACCAGAAAAGCAGAUCCUCAAGAAAAGUGAACCCCUAACUAGAAAAACAUAGGCUCUUGUGUGCUGGGUUUUUUUUUUUGUUUGUUUGUUUGUUUGUUUUUGCUGUCCUCUCAGCCAGGCUUGGUUCAGAACAAGGUGGAUGCUGGAGGCUCUAGCUGGAACUUCUCUAUGUCAGAUCCAGGAGAUUGAACUGCUGCUUUCAGGAAUCUAUGGUUGGUAACGUGCAGGAAAGCUACUGUGGAAACUAGGUGAAUGUGCUGGGAAGACAACGCAAUCAAAAAGUGCUUUAUGUGCUGGGAAGCUUCAGUGAAAGAGGUACAGGUUCCAAAGGACUUGUGUGAACUGUGAUGGAGCCCCACGCAACAAGGGGAUGGCAAAGACAGCAGCAAGCCAUGCUGUAGAAAUUCUUGAAGUAGGAGGAAGGUAACUUGCUGCUGCUUGAUGCCAUGGUUCCCAGCACUCGAAGCAAUGUGCUCCAGGGUAGUGUGGAAUUAACAUCUGAGAGACUGAGAUGAUAUCCCUGUAGAUCCUGACUUCACUCAGAACCUGACCUGCUUCAGUCUGAAUGUCUCUGGUAUUUUGCAGGGCGAAGAGAGGGAUGAGUAUUCCUGGCAGUCAUGAGCUGUGUUGCUUUGAGUGAAACGCAGUAAUUACAGAGGGAAUGACACUUGAGGCUGGGAGCAGUCCCAGCCCUGCACUGGUUCCUCAGGAGUCACCUGGGAGGCUGCUUCAUGCUUUACCCAAAUUGAGCAGAAGGCUCUUGGACACAUCCUCUGCUGUGGUUUGACCAGAGGAAUACUUGAUAAUGCAGCGCACACUGCUGAGAUCACCCUUCUGGCAAAUGCCUGCUGUGGUAUGAGACCCAGUCAUCUGGCAGCACAUUGCUUACUGCAGUCUCCAAGGCAACCCUCCAUGCUGUUCUUCUUUGGAAGCUCUGCGCAUUCGUAAAGAAGCUGUCAUCCCUCUUACAGUAAGUGCAGCAGAUGUGAAAGAUUUUACCUGUGCCAAUGAACCCCAGGAUGCUGUUGCUCAGAGGGGCAGUGCUGCGUUAGGUAUAAUGCUUCUCUCUGAAAUGGCAUGACAAAAUGUCUCCUGCUUUGUGCUCUGAGCCUUUUAAUGUGUCUGUAGCCAACAGUGUUUGCACAAAGAGACUGGGCUGCCGUGAGGAUUACAGAAGACCUCUUCUGAGGCACAGCCUUGCGGUGCUGACAUCUGCCACAAAAAGAAUUCAUUUUGGAAGGCUGGUCCCAAGGUGGAUUUAAUGGUCCUGCGCUAAAAAGUGAAUGCUUCUGGUAUGGAAACCACUGAACUGCAGUGUGGACCCUCAUGUUUCGUAGAGGCUUCUCUGUUUCUUCAGUUGUAUUGAUAAGGAGGAGCUGACAUCUUCUGUGUUGUGGAUGCUGAACCUGGCAGUUCAGAGGGGCAGUUAUCUGCCCCAUUGUCCCAUCAGAAGUCCUCUGGGGAGAGGCUGCAAAUCAAAUGGGGUGGAUAUCUUCUCUUCUGCGAUAGGUAGGCCUGGUACAUGCUCAGUGCUAGUAGGUAGAAAUCAACUUCAUCAGUGCUAGCUGGCCAAUGCUAGAACUCAGGCUGGAACUUAAGGCUUCAGGUUUAUGUUUUGUCUCUUCUCACGUUUUAUUUUUUUUGAUUGAUCUAAUGCUCCUGCAGAAAUCAAGGACUGCUGCUUUCUUCUUGCUAAAGAUAUUGCAAUUCUUUGGGGGUGAGCAAGGUAGGAGGGAAAAACUCCGUGCUCUUAGUGUGGAAAAGACCACACUUCCUUGCCUCCUUUGGUAGAUGAUGUGUAGACCUUGCCCAGAAGAAUUGUCCAGCUUCAAAAUGGGCAUCUGACUCUAUUCCUGGUGGUUUUGUUGUUGUUUUGUUUUUUUUUAGGGUCAUCAACAUACAGCAAGAGACUCCUCUUUUUGGAGGAAGCCCAAGCCGCCAUCUCAGAAGAGUGGCUGAGCCAUAUAACAGCUGAAGUUAAAACAAGGAAAUGAGACCUAUUCUGCUCAGUGCACCCAUGAUCUGAGGAGCUCCUGUCCAGGAGCAUCAGCUAGGUUGGAGCUGCUGAUCGCAGAAACUAAGGAGGACCAAGGUAUUUGUUAAGUGCAGUGAACCUACAGCCAUCCAAAGUAAUUCAGGGCAGAUGAUGCUUAGUGCAGAGCCUGGCUUGGGGAUAGCUGAGAACGAGCGCUCGUUAUUGCUGCCUUAUUGGAGUUUGAGUGCUGCUGGUCCAGAAGACUUCGAUCUACUCUGCAGAGGAAAGACUCUAUAGGAGCCUGCAGUCUGGUGAGGAAAAAACCAAGAGAAGAUUCGCCUGUACUGGACCAGGAGACCACCCAGCAGCAGGACUGGACAGAGGGUCUGCAUAGAGGGAGAAGUGAAGCACAGGCCCUCCCCUGUGAGCCCUAGCAGCUGUGCUUCUGGCACACCCCGGCCAAUGCAUCACCUUGCCAGCCACAUCUGCCUCUGCAGCGCUCUGGUGGGAAGCUGUUUCCAGCACUGCCUGUGUCAGCACCUCUUCCAGUACAGCACAAAGGAGCUGUGCCUCUCUGGACUGGAGGCCUGAGGAUGCCCAAAGCAGCACGUCAGAGCCUGGUGCAGCUGCUGAGAAGAGGUAAAGGGUUUUGGAGUACUUCCAUUUGUGAUGCUCAGCCUCCUCCUAGGACAGCUGUUCACAUGGAAAUGAGCUUGGGUUGGAGGGUCUGUGCUGCAGAUUUCCUAAAAGAGGAGCAGUUGCACAGAAGCCCAUGAAGAACCACCCAGACCAUGUAUUAUAAAAUAUCCCAGUUUAUUAGAGCAUUUCCAUUUCAUAGAGAGUCUUACAAAAAAAAUGUAUUUACAGAUAAAGAAAGAUUUAACUACAUUCACUGGGAGU